rnacentral:lncRNA from 10 species
UUGAAACAAAAACCUAAUAAUCAUUAAAAUGUCUUUAAAGAUUAUUUAGGACUUCUGGUUUUAAUUCUGACAUGGAAAGAACUUAGAAGUUGUCACUCCUGUCUUUACAAGAGUCCAACUGAACAAAGUGAAAUUUAUCACUUCACUUAGACCCAUCAGAAAAGUGAGAUGGUGGCAAGGCAAAUUGUCACCCCAAAAUUUGGAGAGUCAGAUGAGUAAAGAGAAUCACAGUACAGAUCAGCUUAUAUAGAGCAAAAGCAAGCAAAAGCAGAUGGAGCCGUAAACUGGUGAGAACUCUUAAAUAACAAUGUUGACAAAUUAUUGGAGGGUGAGUGUGAGAUAAUAUGAGAAUGAGAAACUCCUUGGGGCUGUAGACUUAGGGAGAAACCCUAAGAAACUUUCAUAAAUUUAAAUUCCAAAAACCCCAACAGAUUUUCGCAGUGAAGAACAUAGAAAAAAAAAAUCCCUUGUUUUUCUGAUGGGGAGAAGAAGUAACCAUUUUGAAAUAGGCCCAGAGUAUUCCAAAUAACACAGAUAAGCCUACUUUCCAGGGUAACAGAUGUUACCAGAGCCUUAUCCCACUUGACAGAUGGUACUUCCUUCAUCACCUUCUAACUUUUCUAUCUCCCUACUGGAGAAUGGGAGGGAAACUAAGAAAUACUUGUGAAAGUCAUAAACUAGGGACACAGGCCCACUAAAAGAAUAAUAUUUAAUUAUAAAAUUAUUUCUCUCCUCCAUAUCAUAUCAAUAGGAGUCCAAGAGAUAACAGAGGAUCAUAGCUCAAAGAGCUGCAAGGAGCCCAAUACCCUUUGAGAAGCAGUACGAAGAGACGGGGUUUCACCGUUUUAGCCAGGAUGGUCUCGAUUUCCUGACCUCGUGACCCGCCCGCCUCGGCCUCCCAAAGUGCUGGGAUUACAGGCAUGAGCCACCGCGCCCGGCCUACUGCACUGUUUUACGUGCUACAGAUGUAUCAAGCAAUUUAACCCCAAUUCCUACUGUGCUUAAAAUAAAUAAGACGUGCCUAUAGGUAAGUACAAUGUAUAAUGUAAUGUGACAGGAAUGAAGAAAGAUAUGCAAAAUGCAAUGAAAAUUCAGAAGGAGGAAAAAGUACAGUUGGAGAGAUCAGGAUAGUCCUGGUUGAGGAAGCAGCAUUUACGGCACACAGGAAAUAAUAGAAUUCUGACAUGCCAAGCAAGGUAAGGAAAAGGAGGGCAUUUCUAGCAAAAGAAAUGCCUUGGAUAUGGUAGAAGGACACUACCUAAGAUUGGAGGGCAGUGAAAAGGUCUGGAAUUCUAGAUUAAGAUAUGUGGGAUGAAGAAAGAUGGAGUAGAGAGGCAGAGAAAGAAUUGGGAAAGAAAAGGAGUAGACAUUAAUGAGACCCUACUCUCAUCAGGUACUGUGAUUUAAGCUUUACUUACAUCAUUUUAGUGCUACAAUGUUUCCAUGUUAAAUAUUCUAAGUCCAAGACACAUGGCCCACCCAGUUACUUAAUGGUAGAAAUGGUGACAUAGCUAACAAACGGUGGUGACGAGACUAAAACUGAAUGUUUGUGCCCAUCCUAUUGCCUUAAAUUGUGCUAUGCUACCUUCAAAUGCCAUAUAUUUUCUUAAUUACAUGAAGCCUAAAUAAACCUACAAACCUUCUUUCUCAAGCUUUUCCCUCUUAAUCUGAAUCCACCAAUGCUCAGAAAUCUCUGGACAUCUUUUGGUUUUCACCAUCAUGAUGUAUGCAUUUAUGUAUACACCUCAACCGUCUCUCCCCAUCCCACUUCCUAUAAUGUGGUAAGUUUCUUGACAGCCAAGACAGUAUCUUCAUCAUCUCUGCAGCUUCAAUGCCUGGAACAGACUUCAACUCUGGAGAGAUAACAGUGGGGUUGAUGUAGAAAUCUUGCCUAAAUGCUCCCUACCAUGAAUGACCACAUGUUCCAGCAUGGUAUGCCAAGGAUCCCUUUGCAAUGUAACUCUACUCCUCCCUCCAUCAAGAAGUAGGGUCUAUUUCUCCACCCCUUGAAUCAGUCUGGUCUUGUGACUUGCUUUCAUCAAUAAAAUGUUGCAGAAGUGAAGUCUGAAAGCCCUGCUUGGAGAAAACAUGUAGCUUCUACUUUCAAUCUUGGAAUCCAGUCUCCACAAAAAGAAGUCCAGGCUAGCCUGCGGAGACAGAGAACAUGUGGAGAGAAAGAUCAUAGUGAAUGAACUACCAUAUGGAGAGUGAAGCCACAUGGAAGAGAACCACAUUGCCCCAGUUUGACAGUAACAGCAAAGCUCCAUUUAUUGAGAAUGAAGCAAUCUUUGAUCUCUUAGCCCUAAUCAAGUCACCCCAGCUGACAUCACAUGGAGUAGAGACAAGCCAUCCCCACUGAGCCCCAAAUAUCCAACCAACAAAACUCACUGAAUGGAUCCCCAGUGUCUAACUGUGUAAAACAGCUGAGACGUCACUGCUUUCCAAUCUCUUGAAGGACAAGUGCUCAUCUUGGCUCACCUUGGAACCCACUUCAGAACCCAGGGGAAGUGGUAAGUGUUCUAGUGUACGCAUUGGAAAGGGAAAUAUACAAACAGGGCUGAGGAUAUCUCGGGACACAAGCAGCCAUCAAUAUUUUAAGAUGACCAACAAGCAAUAGUCAAGGAGCUCCCAUUGGGCAACUCUUCUCAGCUCUGAAGAGAAGAGCCAGUGCAAAUCCCCAGCAGGGCUGUGGUGCUCACCUGGUGGCCAGUAGGUGGUCUUAGGCAUUGGUUCCAUUCCCUCAUUGUUUUUGCUUCUAGCAAUAAUAGCUGCUCCACAGCCUGUCAAUUAAGACAUUGCUCCCCUACACCUCCAAUUAUUAUUUCUUUUUUUUUUUCCUUUGUUUUUUUCUUUUUUCCUUUUUUUUGAGACAAAAUCUGGCUCUGUCACCCAGGCUGGAGUGCAGUGGUGGGACCUCAGCUUACUGCAACCUCUGCCUCCCGGGUUCAAGUGAUUCUCCUGCCUCAGCCUCCUUGUAGAUGGGACUACACGAGCUCACUACUACGCCAGCUAAUUUUUGUAUUUUUAGUGGAAACGGGGUUUUGCCUUGUUGGCCAGGCUGGUCUUGAACUCCUGGCCUCAAGUGAUCCACCCACCUCAGCCUCCCACAGUGCUGGGAUUACAGGCGUGAGCCACCACGCCCGGCCACCUCCAAUUAUUUCUGAUGAAUGCUUCAAGAUCCUCUUUGGAAGUUUGAAAACAAAAGAAAAGAAAACCAGCCACCAGCCAACCAAUGACCAAAACUUGCUCUCUGUUUUCUUCCUAAUUUCUAAUUCUCCUGGAGCCAAUGUGAAAAGAGAAAAGUUGUGCAUAAAAGUAAGCACAAAUAAUAAUAUAUCAACAAAUACUCAUAUGUACCCCACAAAUAUAUAAAAUAUUAGGUAUCAAUAAAAUAAAAUAAUCAGUAUUCAAAGCUAUUUCAAACUCAGAAAUGCAUCUCACCAAUUAUAUGUAUAUCUAUAAACAUCACAAAUAAUAGGAUAAUUGGGCAUGUCCAGGAUUAUAUUGGAGAAGCAAUGUGCUCACAGCAUUGAAAGAGCAAAUUUCUUCACCCACUUGCAGAUGAUAUAAUUUUAACCUCCAAUUCCCCUGUCUCCAUUGUUCAUCUCCUCCAGGACUGUGAACAGAUUUCAUCAGUUUUUGGUUUCAUUAUUCCUCCACUGGGAUAUCGGUCUCAGUUUAUAAACAUAUUCAGAUCUCUUCAAUAAUUUAAAAAAGAAUCCUUCCCUGAAUCCCUGUUCAAUAUUAACUAACUGAAACCUACAGGGUAACGAAUCUGUUUUUAAAAAAGAAAGAUAAAGAAAAUAUCUGCGUUUUCUAUAAUAUUAUACGAACUUGAAAGGCAAAGAGUUAGAUGACAUUUUCACAUAAUGUGCAUAUUGUUAGAUUAAGUAUGAUUUAUAUGUUUAAAAUUAAACCUUUUUUAAGUUUUAUAUGCAAUAAUAGAAGUAUUUCCUAUUUUAUGGCGUAAAUCUGGUUGUCCAUAUGCAAGUUAACAGCAUUUGAGGCUUCUUUUUAUAAUAACUGGUAAGAUCUUGCCCAUCGGAACUUGGUUGUUGGUCAUUUCUUUGAAGCAUUUCCCUAUUGACUGAAAGCAACUAAAAAGGUAGGUUUGUUUAGGAUAUGAAAACUAAGUUACCCUAUGGCCCCAAAACCACAUUAGAUACUGAUUAAUUACUUAUAUUCAAGUAAAACAUUGACUUACAUUAAAAAACCUUAGGUUCUAAAUGUCCUAUGCCUAACCUAUUCAGUACAAUGUGACACAAAUUCAACUUGAUUUCCUAUACUGGUUAUGCCAAAAUAAAGCUAUUUCUUUAUUAAAAAUAAAAAUAAUGAAUGCUAUUAAGGUGGCAGCUUCAUAUUCUCAUAAGAUUUUGCUGUUCAAGCUAAUCUUUAAAGGUUUUACCAGUGAUACCAUGCAAGUGGGUUUGCAUCCACAUGUGUAAUGCCUUUAUUUCUACCAAAUCACUUACAAUGUCCAGAUAGACAUAUUUGUCUAAGUUAGCCAAACUGUGGCAAUGCCUUUUAAAUGCCAGAUAAAAUCUAUUAAAAUUUGUAUCUUUUCAUAUGGGCUUGGGCUUUUAA